AGACGGAGGGUGCAAGCGUUAAUCGGAAUUACUGGGCGUAAGGCGCUCGUAGGCGGCUUGUUAAGUCGGAUGUGAAAGCCCUGGGCUCAACCUGGGAACUGCAUUCGAUACUGGCAGGCUAGAGUAUAGUAGAGGCAAGUGGAAUUCCGGGUGUAGCGGUGAAAUGCGUAGAUAUCCGGAGGAACAUCAGUGGCGAAGGCGACUUGCUGGACUAAUACUGACGCUGAGGAGCGAAAGCGUGGGGAGCAAACGGGAUUAGAAACCCCGGUAGUCC
rnacentral:rRNA from 1 species